rnacentral:lncRNA from 1 species
CAGAGAGAGAGAGGAGCAGCAGGCUGUGGAGGAGCAGGUGUGAUUCAUGAAUAAACUGCUCUCUGGCACCCUGUAGGACACUGAUGAGACAAAUAGAAUUUCCCCAGCCAUGGAUAACACCAGAACAGCAGACACUUUUUCACAGUUAAGCCAGGAAAAAAUCCUCAAAAUCAUGAACAUGGUGAAAAAUAAAGAAGUGAGCAUUGAAGGAGCUCUGCAUUUGGCACAGAAGGAGGUGUGUGCUGCAAAGGAUCCCCAGGAUUUGUUAACUGGCUCCCAAUUUAACUUCAUUAUCUACAAAUACAAACACUACCGGUGGCAGAAACGGAUCCUGCAGCUGGAUUUCAGCAGCAGGACGGUUUUCAACAUCGAGAAGGGCACUAUCAGGAAGCAGUUCCCCUUCUCCCAAGUCAGAGGCUGCGAGGAUGCGGAGAGGAGGCGAUUCAGCAUCCUGUUCCACGGCAGGCAGCACUACGAGCUGGAGGCCCUGUCCCUGCAGGACAAGAGGAAGAUAAUCUACCUGCUGAGCAGAGUCAUUCAGAGCAAUUCCUACCAGAGAGCAGUGGAGUCCUGGCCUGGGAGAGCUGCAGAGUGUGAUGUGAUCCACGAAGGGCUGCUGGACCUGCAGGAGAGCACCUUAACCUCCACUGAAUGGGUGAAGUGCCUGGCAGAGCUGAGGGAAGGAGAGCUGGCCUUGUACUGCCUGGGGCUGGGGGGCAGGAGCCCUGCAGCCACAAUUGCCCUGGCAGCUGGGAGCCUGGGGGUCAGCAGGGACAGUGCCUGCAGCACCUUCUCCCUGCACACCAGAGACCACCACUACCUGCUGCGGGUCCCGCUCAGUGUGCAGAGCAGCAGGCCAGANNNNNNNNNNNNNNNNNNNNCCAGAGGAGGCUGGCAGGCAGCAGAGGGACUGGCUGUCCCUGCUGGAAAGGCACUGCCAGCCCGGCAGCGCUGGAUCUCCAGGAUGCAGCUCCCCCGAAGCUGA